UGCUUUGUUAGACAUUUAUAUUGCUCUCUAA
rnacentral:piRNA from 1 species